GGGGAGGAGAAUUAUUGAUUCAAAGGACCUUAGAGCUCAAAAGGUCCUGAGAGACCAUCAUAACCACCCUCUUUAUUUUACAGAUACAGCUUCUGAGGAUCACGGGGAUGAAAGGCAUGAACUGGGCUCACACAGCUAAUGCAUUAGGACACCAGAAAAGGAAGAAAAGACAGUGGCAGCUGAAGACAUUUCAGGAAUGCUUCACUGAGAACCUAAGUCUUGUUCUGGGCCAUAAAGAAAAGGGGAGGGUGUGGUUUCUAUACCAGAGAUAAGAAAGGAGAAAAUUGGACGUGGAGGAAAGAUAUGAGUACCAAUCCGAGCGAACAAGGAAGAUGAAAAAGGUGCCUGCUUCUCCUUCUGCCAUGAUUAUAAGUUUCCUGAGGCUUCCCCAGCCAUGCGUAACUGAGUGAGGACCUAGAAUUUUAAUGUCUAAUAUGCGGUGUGAAUUAAAGAAGCGGCCUUGCUAUGCUGACCUUUUCAAUAUUCUAAUCUUUGCUUUGCUGACCUCUCAGGCCUCUUCCUGGCAACAGUUAGGCUUUUGAGAGGAGAGAGAGCUGAGACUGUUGGCUCCUUCCCAUUUAUGAGAGAGCCACAUGACAUCAGCCCAUAGACUGUGGAGAGUAUUCCAGAUCUAUCACAUUCUGCGAUUCUGCGAUUCCCAGAAGGCUGGUCAUGAAAAAAUUCCCUCUUCAGUUUACAUAUAUGGCAGUGAUGCACAUUGUUCUUUUGGUUGUGAAAAAUUCGAAGAAGUAGAUGUGGUCCUGGUUGAUGGAUGAACAUUGAGGCCCUCAAGUGCAUAAAGGCACUUCUAGAUAUCUGUUGAGGCCUGGAAGGGGCAAAACAAUUCAGGAAGCAGUUGAAGAUAAAGGGGUUUACCAUGGAAGAGAAGAUCCAGGUGCCUUCAUGGAAAUGCUUGUGGUUGAAAAGAGAUGAAGAUGAGGGUCCCUGGAAAGAGGAAGAACCAGCCAGGAAAAUUAUACCAUUAGCAAGACUGGCAUCAGCAAGUAGUUCGCAGUGUUGGUUGUUCUUGGUUUCGCAGGAUUUUAUAGGAGUUCUGAACACUGGGAAGUCCAAGAGCAAGGCAACAACAGAUUCAACAUCUGAUGGACCUUCUCCUAAAAGUCUUAUCUUCUAAGUCUCCUAAGUCUUGGACUUUUCAAGGCCAAAGAUUUAAAGGCCAAGUGGACCAUACGGGAGAUCUAGUUUCCCAUCCAGACAGCCAAGCUCAUGCAUCCCUGGAUUUGGAUGGAUGGUUUCCCAUGGGGCCUUGGACAGAUUGGACCCAGCACUGGCACAGGGUUGACUUGGAGGAAUAAGCUCCUGGAAACCUCAAUUAGCGUUUGGGGUAUGAACAUUAAACAAUACUGAAUCUGGAAACAAUACAUCACACAGCGGGUCCAAGGAAAUAAGCAGAAGGCUGGCAGCAGGCCAGGGCCAGGGGCCAAAUCGCUCCUCAAAGACAAUUCUUCAUGGAGAAAUGACAGCAGGUUUGAGGACAGCAGAAUUUCGCUCUUGUUGCCCAGGGCUGGAGUGCAAUGGUGCAAUCUCGGCUCACCACAACCACUGCCUCCUGGGUUCAAGCGAUUCUCCUGCCUCAGCCUCCUGAGUAGCUGGGAUUACAGGAAGUACAAAAACAUCCUUGCCGUUUGCUGGAAUGAUGUACUGCUGAAGGCAAUGGACACUGGGGUUGUUUGUCCCUAAUCACAAGUGAGCAAUACCAGAUCUAUUAUCUCAGGUUCAGAGAAGUGAGGUGUCUGACCUUCAGACAGGAUUGAAUGCAGAGUAAAAUAAUUCCAAAUAUGGUCUGGGCAUUGCAUGUAAUACAGAGUAAAAGUUAUUGUAAGACACUUUCGCCAGUUUCUGUCACUUGGUUCCUCAAAUGUUUAGUUCAUUCUAAUUACAUAAUCAGCCUUCUGAUUCAAUGAAGACUGAUGGGAUUGCUGACUUGCCACCCUGGAGUUCAGUUGGCAGCAAGUGAGGGAAAAGGUGAACUCUGUAAACAAGGUUUAGAAGCCCUUUUCUUAACUCUUUAUAAAACAGAGAAGAUGAGGAAGGAGAAAGGCACUGUCAUUAAGCUCUUAGCCAGGGAAUUACACAUACACACACGUGUGUGUGUGUGUAUUUCAACUCAAUGUACAAGGACUUCUCAGCCCAUAGCUACUUUGAACACAUUGUUUAUCCCCCAUAGCAUGAAGGACUAAAGGAACCAGAGAUUUCAUAAUCUCUGGCCUGUAACGUUUUUGCUGAAAUAUCUGCUGUUAUUCUAAUGGGGUUUCCUUUAAAGGUGACUAGUCACUCUUCUUUUGCUAAUUAAUUUUUUUUUUCACUUUGACUUUAGACAUUCUGAAUAUAAUAUGCUAUGAUGAAGCACUUUAUGCAAUGUAUAUUCCUGAGGAUUGCUGGGCCUCCUGUAACUAGAUGUCUGACUCUCUUGCUAGAUGUGGAAAGUUUUCAUCAAUUAUUUUCUUAAACAGGUUUUCUAAGCUUUUAAAUAAUCUUUCUUUCCCAUCAGGAAUACCAAUAAUUUCUAAUUUCAGUCACUUUAUGUAGUCCCAGACAUCUCAAAGGCUUUGUGCACUCCCUUUUAUACUUUUUUGUUGUCGUUAUCUUUGUCUUACUGGAUUAUUUCAAAAGACUUAUCUUCAAGUUCUGAGAUUCUUUCUUCUGCUUGAUCUAUUCUGUUAUUGAAGCUUUCAAAUACAUUUUGCAUUUCCUUCAAUAGUUUUUUUAGGUUUAGAUUUUCUGCUUUUGCUUUAUAAGAUACCCAUCUCCUUGAUACAUUUCUCAUUAAUAUCCUGAGUUAAUUUUCUAAUUUCUUGAAGUUGGCCCAAGGGUGGAAUGCAGCCCCGUGUUAAACUCUCAAAACUGUGCCUUGGGCCUGUGACCAGACAGAGCAGAUUUCUUCUCAAGUAAGUAGCAUAGAAAAGAGAGAUCCAAAUAAACACAAUCAUAAAUGAAAAAGGAGACAUUAUAGCUGAUAACACAGAGGCACAAAGAUCAUCAGAGACUAUUAUAAAUAACUAUAUGAUCACAAACC
rnacentral:lncRNA from 1 species